rnacentral:lncRNA from 1 species
CGUCAUUUUCCUAACAUAAGAAAAGUUACUCCAUAUUGGAGCCAAUACCGACAACGGAAAUAAUCUUGCCCAUUAAAUAAGAAAAUAAAAAGAAAUAUAAUUCCCCCUAUUUAAUUAAAAACGAGAACUAGAGUAAUUUCCAAUAUUACAAUUUAGUCGGAACUAGAAAAGAAGCCAGUGUAAUGGCUAAAAGAUGAAAAAGAAAUAAAACUAAAGAAUGAAGAGAGAGAAAAAGCUUUCUGCUCAAUAUUUCACUUCUCAUAUUUCUUCCAUGCUCUCCUUCACGGUCGAUGCUUCUUUAUAGGCAAUCCAUGACAAGGUUUUCAAUUAUCUUCUGGAUAUGAACUUGUCAUGGCUGGUUGCCUUGUUAUGCUUGGUUAUGAGCUUCUUUGGUUAUGGAUCGGUUAUAGUUUGUUGUAUCCGGUUGUGGGUCGGUGUCCUUUGUCAUGGCAUAUCACUUUAAAUAAAGUCUUCCUUUAGCACAUAUUUACUUUGCUUUAGCUUGUCCGUUUUUCUUUUUUUCCUCUGUAAUCUUCUCGUUCCUGGACCAAUUCUUCUUUAACUUUUCCUGCAUAAUUUAGGCAAAAGUAUGGAAGAAAUAUGAUAGUUUUUGUAUUUUUACAAAGAAAAUAUAUGUUUAAAAAUCAAGUAAAAUGCGCUUAUCAAGAGGGAGCUUCCUAAGUAGAUAUAAAAGUGGAGGACGAAACACAGGGCAGAAGUGUAGCAGUAGAGUGGAAUGGAAAAGUGUGUUCCACAAAAACAACAUGCCUAGAGAUGAAGAUUUUAUUUGAUGAAGAAUCUAAGCAAACAUAGUUAUUUGUAUAGGAGGAGUAAUCUAAGAAUACACAUAGACGACUUCUUGGAUCGAGCUUAUGCAUGCUAUAUGGUUGUAAGAUAGCAGAGACACCCAAAUACACGUAACUUAUGUAGAUUUGGAGGACGAUGAUACAAGGCUUGAAAAGGGGAGCUACCUUUGACAAUGGGUGUGGGUAAUAUGUUGAUCAGAUAUAUUGUAGUUUGGACAGCAAGUGACCAAAAUUUGAGUGGUACAGAUGCAUGAUGAAGAAUGGUAAGGGUGGUUUCAAGAAUGUAUCGAUGCUUGUAUUCGGUAGUGCCAAAUAGUUGGGGAGUGUAUGGAGGACUCAAAAGGUGUUGAAUGCCAGAUUUUUGAAAAAAAGUUUUAAGGCCGAUGUAUUCACCACCUUCAUUAGUGUAAAAUGUACCAAUUUUAGUGGAGAAGUAGUUCUCAACAACUUUCUUAAAAUUGAUAAAGGUUUGAGUGACACUAGAUUUGUUCUUAAGAGGAAAUAGCCAUGUGUAUUAUGUGAAAUGAUCAACAAAAAAUGACAUAACAACAAAAAUUAUCAAAUGAUGUAAUAGGAGCUGGCCCCAAACAUCUCAGUAAAUUAUUUCAAAUUGUCGAUGACUAACAAUAGAUUUUGCACCAAAUAGAAGUUGGUGACUUUUAUAACAAAAGCAAAAAUUACAGAAUGUAAAAGAUUUACUAAGGGGCAUGGAAGCUAAAAAGAAGAUAUGAAGCUCUUCGUGAUACAUGGCUCCGGAUGGCCAAGUCUUGCAUGCCAGAGAUGUAACGUAGGAGACUGGGAAGCGACAAAGUAAACUUGAUGUGAGAGACUGGUGGAUCUAUUAGGUAGCUUAGUUGUUGGCCAUUCAUAGAGGUCAUUGUUACUCCGUCCUUGAAGUAGUGUUGCCUGCGUGUUCAAAUCCUUAACAACAUAAGAGUAAGGAAAAAAUUCAAUAGAAGUUAGAUUUUGACGGCAAAAUUGUGCAGCAGAGAUUAGAUUGCGUCUUAUUAUUGGUGAGCAUAAGACAUGAUGAAGAGAAAAGGAAUGAGCAGGUGAAGUAGAAGAAUGAAGAGUAGUUUGACCAAUAUGCGAAAUUGGGAUACUGUUACCAUCUCCUAUGAUGCUCUCAUCAUUGCUUGAGAAGUCAGUGAUGGAAGUGUGAUUGGACAGAUUAUCCGUUAUGUGAUGUGAUGCUCCGGAAUCUAUAACCCAAGGGUUUCCAUUGUUGUUGUAGGACCGAGCCACCAUGUUUGCUUGUUCUUCAUAAUUGUUGUGCGAUUGAGAGCGACAUACCUUGGCUAAGUGACCAUAUUUGUCAUACAAUUAACAUUGAACACAUUGUUGGUUGGAUUGACGGGAACCGAGUGAUCUAGAGUUGUUGUUAGGUGGUCCAGGAUAGUGACGACUGUUAAAAGAGUUAUUGGGUCCUCCUUGUUGCUGGUUGCUAUGACAUUGUUGGCUAUUGCUGGCUGUGUUGUUGUAAUUGCGCAUGAAGGAGUUUUGGUUUGUUGGGGCUCGUUGAUUUAAUUGAACAAUGGUCAAGGGUGUAUUGGUUUUUGGUUCUGAAUGUUGGAGAAAGACCUCAUCAGCUAGGAGCUUGUGAUACAAUUCUUCAAAGGAUAUUGGAUUAUCUCGAGCACGGAUGGCUGCUGGAUUUCUUUGAAUUUCGACCCACGACCGCUAAGUAUUUUUAUGACUAGCUCUUCAUUGGUCAAUGGAGACCCACUGGAUGCAAAAUCAUCAGUAACUGAUUUGAUCUCUUUCAUGUACUCAGCCAUUGUAUGAGAUUCUUUUCGAAGAUUGGAAAGGAUGUCACGAAGGAUAAAGAUUUUUGACACUGAUUUGUUUGGAAAUGUUGUUUGAAGUAUUUCCCAGGCAUGCUUAGCAGUAGAUGCUUAGGAUAUUACUAGGGCAAUAGAAUGUUCAACAGAUGCCAUGAUAGCAUCGCGAACUAAGCUGUCUUGGCAGAGCCAAAUCUUGAAGUUGAGGUUGAUCAAUUACUUAUUAUUUUUUGUGUAGUAUUCAGCGGGACAACUAGAGGAGUCCUCAAUAAAUCCCAGUAGAUCGUAGCCGAAUAGUAGAGUUUUGACUAGGGCUUGGCAUGUUGGUUGGUGCUUCCUGCUAGUCUCAGAAAUAGUUGGGAAGCAGGGUUGAAAGAUAUUAAUUGAGAUGGUUGAACUAUGGGGCUAUGACCAUAGACACAUGAUGGAGUGGAAUUGGUUGUUAAUGAUGAGGUAUUGUUUCCCAUCAUUGUGAAACUUAGAGAAAAUUACUAAUUCGUUUAAAUGUCAAUUGCCCCAUAAAAGCACCAAAAUCUGAUGGAACUGUUGUAUAUUUGCAUAACUGAGAUCAACUAUUUAUAAUACAAGAGUACAAUGAGUUUAGAAGAAUAGGAGUCUACAAAGAUAAAAUACAAUCUAUACAAAUAAGCAUUUGAGUUCAAAAGGAAUUAUCCAUUUGAGAAGUUGUUAGCCAUGAUUAUCUUCUAUAGCAAGUAGGGGGUCAAUAGUUUGGUUUGACUAGUUAUUUUACAAAAUUUGUAUCAUAUCAUUAUUCGGUUAUUCUAUCAUGUAUAACCAAAAUUAGUCUUUUCAAAAAUCAUCCCAUUCAUAUCCGUUUCUUUUUGCUUUCGGUACUAAAAGUAGAAUGCAAUGACAUACAUAUUUUUAUAGAAUUUAGCAAAACUUUCUAGAUAGUUUUACUGUUUAAAUAGUGAUAAAUUAAGAUAACGUAAAAGAUGGCCAGAGUAUAGUUCCAUCAACUUCUCUAGAGCAGUAUAAAAGAAACUAUGCACAAGACAAAAAAAGAUAAAUCACAUGAGCAGAAAGAUAUUAAUUAAACAAGCCGGGACUUAUGAAUAAAUUCUAUGAAAGAUUAUUCAAAAAGAUAAAUCUAAAUUAUACGAAAGGAGACAUAUUCAAUAUAUUAAUGUGGUUUGCUACUCACUAGAAUACUUUGUGUUUUGCUAGUGAAUAUGCUAAAAAUAAUUUAGUUUCAGUAAGAGUAACUUAAUAGGUUUGGAAUUAGGAUUUUAAUUUUAAUUACUUGUUGUAACCAUUUUCAUAAUUUCUAGGCACAAGGAAAAACUAUUGCUUUAGUAUUUUAUACUUAUUAUAUAUUUAUAUUUUUCACAUCUAAAUUUAUUCGCUACGAUUCGAUAUUUUCGGUUUAUUUUCAUAAAAUAAAAAAACAUACUCUAAUUAUCGGUACGAUUGUAGAUUCAUAUAACAACCUACCAUUUUAUUAAAAUAAACCUAAAAUCGAUUCGGUACGAUUUGAUCGAUUUAGUCGGUUUUUAAAUAUUCAUUGACACCCUAAAUAGCAAGUAUACCAAGGUACACAAAAGUGGAAAAGAAUAUUACACAAUAGAAUAUGUUACAAAUAAAAUAGAUAUUUAAUAUUAUUUAUAAUAUUUAUUAAUAUCUUUUUUAUGCAACCAAUCAAGUAUAGUCAAACCUCUCUAUAACAGCUCAAUUUAUUCUGAAUAUUUUUUGAUAUUAUAGCGAAGUGCUAUUAUAGAGAACAUAUGUAUAACACAAUAUAAAAUAUAUCUACAAAAAAGCUUGACUUUUAUAAUGAAAGUGUUAUUAUAUAGGGAUGAUGUUAUAGAGAGAUGUAUUUAGAGUCAAUUUGACUUGGCAAAAUGAUACUAGUAAAUGAAUUUGAGAGGCCCACUUGGUUUGGGACGCCUUGGACAGUGUAUUUCUUUUCUCCAACAGAAAAGGUCCAAUAAUAUCCUUAAACUAAUGGAUAUAUCUUAAUUUUAUCCUCCAUUAGUAAACUGAGCAAGAAAUAUCCCCAAGUUAGAAAAUUGGGCAAACAAUGCCUUUAACCUAACGGCUAAAUACAUAAGCCUUCUCAUCAGCAUUGUUUAGCUGACGUGGCAUCCACAUAAACUACUCUCUCUUCUUAUAUCGAUAUUCACCUAUUCGUAAAAUCUUAAUUAUCCUUGUUCCCCAAUUUUAAAAAUCUUCAUUUUUCCUUCAAAAUUUCUUCUCAAUGUGUUAUUUAUCUGUGAAUGCGCAUGAAAUUCAAUAUGCAAGAAGGUGUCAUUGCGGAUUGAUUGCGUUAUAUUUGACUGCUUGACCAGACGCAAAUACUGGGAGAAGGUUCUACAAAUAUCCACAAUCCAAGGUUAGUUUUGAAUUUAUUUUUUUUUGGUCGAUUUAUCUGACUCAUCUUCUUUUGUCGAGUUAGGUCGUUCUUUAUUUUUAUGUUUAUGUACGAAAAAUAUUGCCAGAACUGCUGUAAAUUCUUAUAUGAUGUUGGUUAGUUCUUGCGGGUAUUUUGAAUGGAUUGACUAAAAGCUCCCUUAUCGAGCGGUGAUGGUUGUCACACCUCCUCUUUGCCCGCGCCCGCAGGGGCGCAUGAGAGUUUUUCCAAUUAAAGGACAAUCGAAAUGAGAUUCAUUUAUUAAGAGACUCAGAGUCACCACUUAGGAGAUUAUGGUGUCCCAAGUCAGCGGUAGAAUCCCGAAUCGAGGAAAAGUUGACUCUGUAUUACAGUCUGUGACCAGAAAUUCGAGUAAGGAAUUCUGUUAACCCGGGAGAAAGUGUUAGGCAUUUCCGAGUUUCAUGGUUCUAGCACAGUAGCUCAACUGUCAUAUUCGGCUUAUUUAUCUCAUUUUAAACAAUAUAGAACCUAUGUACAAAUUUAACUUUAAACCGCAUUUAUCAUCAUCAUUAUUUUAAUAAGAAUUGCAACGUCGUGAAAACGCAUCUCGAACCACGUCACAUCAAUAUACUCGUGAUUGUUGAUCCAUCUUGACCACAUUGAGAUUUGAAUUUGGGUCGCAUAAAUAUGCACCCGAGUUUAGGGAGGUAAUGUUAUUAAAGUACGCGACUAAAAGACUAACGCGUUAUUAUUUGGGGAAGGCUGUGAAAUUCGUUAAAUGACCCGUCUCAAAAUCUAAGUGUUUUAAUAUAUACAUUUAAUGAGGGCCCCGCAAUUUGUAUAUUUUAUUUGGCGAGGCUCGUCUCAUUUUUAUUGUUCAAAGGGCGAUCAUAAAGUAAACUAGGAUUGUCUAGUUUAUGUGUCUCUAAGAUAAAGAAAAAAAAUCCUAACUUGUUAAUUAUUGCGUUAGAGCGAACACAGAAAGGAAAAUACACUCGAGCCUGUAUCAAGAGAAUUGUUCUUCACAGGCUGUGGCCUAGGUCCAAAUAAGUACUGGACCGAAACAAGACCUGGGCCGCCUGUCAAUACAUUCAGGCCCAACGGCGUGCAAACAAGCUUGUGGUUAAAUGCAGACUCGAUUAAAUCCUACCAAAUGCCUAUUAUAAAUACUUCAAGCUUAUUGAGCGAACACCAGUUUAAGGCUUAACAUUUUUAGAUGUUUAGCUACUGAUUAAUCCUUAAACACUUAUUAAAGAUGAAGAAGCAGAUUAAAGUGUGACCAAACAACGGGAUCAUACAAUUCUGUUAAUAAGAGCUGAUUAAGUAGUUCAAAAAUCCAUAUAUCAAGCAUUAAAUCUAUUGAUGAAUUCUCUGGCAUUACAUCACAAGUUCAGUUUUAGACUUGGUUUCAAACUCAGGUGAAAAUUCGACUGAUUCUGCUUCUUUUUAAAAUAGGAAAAAAUGCUAAAGUAGACAUGGUACUACCUAUAUUGAAACUACACCUAAACAAUCUCAAAUUAAAAUAAUCCAAACCAGUUCCAUUAUAGUCAAAUGGCUUAAGUAGUUCAGAAAAGGUUCUAAUUGUACAGUUCUCAAUAUAAUACAAAUUAGAAAACUAAAUACGUAUACUACUCAUUAGAUGAUCAAAUACAGCUAUAUGGAUCCAAACGAGCAUGGCCCUGGAUAUAUGAUUUCAUUUCAUUGUUUGACAGGAUAAGCUACAUGGAUGAUCCAGAAUGUGUACCUGGUAUUGAAAAUACAAGAAGAAAGGAGCAAAUCAGCAGCAGCAGAUAACACAUCAAAAGCAGCAGUACACCAGCAAAUUCCAACAUCAAACAACCAAUCCAGUUCAAUACCCAGAACAGUUUGAAAACCAAACCAAGUCGAUAGAACAACCCUAACAGAAUACCAAAACUCGAAAAUGAAUCCAAGGGACUGAAGUUAAACAAUCAACCGAUCCCCAAUUGUCUCAAACCAAACAGACUCGGAACAAAAUAAGCUGAGGAACUGAAUUCAAACCCAAAACUUGAAAGAGUAAUCAGCAGGAUCAAUGAAACAAUACUCUCAAAAAGGCUACUGAAAGUUGAUUCCCAAAACCUCUCUCCAAAACAGACUCUUGAAGUUUUUUUAGCUCUCUUGUGUUCUUUUUGGACUUCUCUAUGCGUUUUUGAAUCUAAGCUCUUACUGUCAGUCCCCCCUAUGAAUUCUUUUUUGCCUCUAGACUACCUUCUUCUUAUUUAAACCCAAACUCUUUAACCCUUUUCAGCCCUCCCUUUUUCUUUACAGCUAUAAGAAGUAUCUUUUAUUAUUACCCAUUGCUCCUUUUUACUUUCCAGCUUUCUAUAUUCUUGUACUAUGUGAAACCUUUUAGUUUUUUUUUUUUAUUAUUCCCCUCUUUUUACUUUUCAAACCCCCUUUUCUUUUAUUUACAUCACUAUGUCUUGUUCCCCACUAGCCCUUAUCUUUUCUUUACUUAAUCAAUCCCUUUAAACCUCCCCAUUAUAUAUCUUGUUCCCCCACUUUUAUUAAACAUUUCAUUAUUUAGUGGUACAUUAGUACUUAGUGGACAGAACACUCAAAUUAAACAAUUCUGCAAGUUUUCAAUUCUCAUAUUACCCCUGAAACUACUGAAAUUACUAUCCUACCUAAUCCCCUUUCAAUAUGUACCCAAAACUCAUCAGCUAUAACCAAUUUCCUAAUCAAACUCAACCAACAACUAAGCUGAUUCCUAAUUAAUCAUUGGAAUAAAUAGACUAAAAUUAAAUCAAAAUCACAUUAACAAAGAUUCCAUGGUUCAGGGGAUAAGCUAACACAAAACCUAAACAAGAACAAAUGGACACUAUAAAUACACUGACAAAACAAAAUGAAUUCAUAUGCAACAAGUGAUAAACAACGAAGUGAGAAGAAACAAAAUAACAUAAAUGAGAAACUCUUGUUGGGGUGGAGUGUAGGAGAUAUUAGAUUGUUAGAGUAGGAAAAUGUUAUGGGAAAAACUUUGAAUGCUUCUUGUUCAUCCUAUACAAACGAUGGAUUACAUGGUUAUUUAUAGACUUGUUGGAUAGUUCUAGAUUUUUCCACAUACAUGAGAUAUUUCUCAAGCUCUACAUUAUUCUAGACUCUAGAUAUUUUACUUAUAUAGAUAUUUUUCCAAACAUGUUCUCUAGUAUUCUAGAGAACCCCAUGAUUUGAUAUUAUACUCAUAUAUCUAGAGACUUCUAGCUAAUGCAAAUUACAAAUUACAUAUUACACUUUAACACCCCCUCUUAAUUUGUAAUUUGUAACUUAUCUCUGAAGUGAGUAAAUUUGUCCACUGGAAGUGCUUUUGUGAAGAUGUCCGCCAGCUGCUC